GACGAACGCUGGCGGCGUGCUUAACACAUGCAAGUCGAACGGAAAGACCCUGCUUUUGUGGGGUGCUCGAGUGGCGAACGGGUGAGUAACACGUGAGUAACCUGCCCUUGACUUUGGGAUAACUUCAGGAAACUGGGGCUAAUACCGGAUAGGAGCUCCUGCUGCAUGGUGGGGGUUGGAAAGUUUCGGCGGUUGGGGAUGGACUCGCGGCUUAUCAGCUUGUUGGUGGGGUAGUGGCUUACCAAGGCUUUGACGGGUAGCCGGCCUGAGAGGGUGACCGGCCACAUUGGGACUGAGAUACGGCCCAGACUCCUACGGGAGGCAGCAGUGGGGAAUAUUGCACAACGGGCGGAAGCCUGAUGCAGCAACGCCGCGUGCGGGAUGACGGCCUUCGGGUUGUAAACCGCUUUCGCCUGUGACGAAGCGUGAGUGACGGUAAUGGGUAAAGAAGCACCGGCUAACUACGUG
rnacentral:rRNA from 1 species